ACCUCUUUGCCAUCGAUUUCCAUGCUCUGUGUCUGAAACUCCACCCCAAUUGUGGCCUUGGAGUGCGCAUUGAACUCGUUGCGCGCAUAGCGAGACAGCAAGUUCGAUUUCCCGACCGCGGAGUCUCCAAUUAUCACGAUCUUAAACAGGUACUCUUCCCCUGACCCCUCCUCGUCUGAAGACGACAUGUCGUCUUUCUGGGUCUUCUCUUCUUUCUGCUCUGUUUCCUUUCUAGGUUUCUUCGUUGAAGUUGUUUAGCAGAGAAUUGAGCUCGCAGUUCGAGAAUGGAGAGAAUGGGUGUGAGUUUUUUUUUUUUUUUUUCCCCUUUUUUGCAGGGGAGAUACACAGCAGAGCAGAGCAGAGGAUAAAGACAGGAAGACGAUGGUGCGAAUUUUGGACAGCAAGGGAAAGAAGAAACGAUGAUGUAUUGAGCUGGCAGAAGGACAUACUGCGCAUGUAGCGCCCUCAUUACAGAUUUUUUUG
rnacentral:lncRNA from 1 species